CACACACACAGACGUACGCAAGAAGGGUGCACGCACGCAGACGUACGCAAGAAGUGUGCACGCACGCAGACGUACGCAAGAAGUGCGCAAGCAAACAUGGCCGCAGACAUACACAUGAAGUGCGCAUGCACACAGACGAUAUGCAGGAAGCGUGCGUACAUACUUGAUGGAGAGAGAUUUUUCGGCGUUGAUGUCAUCCCGGUGUCCGUGCCUAAAGCUUUAACUCUUGUCUCUGCUUCGUGCGUCAAGACAGGAAUGCGGUUUUUUUUCCUCUUACACACACACACACACACACACACACACACACACACACACACACACACACACACACACACACACACACACACACACACACACACACACACACACACACACACAC